AUUGAACGCUGGCGGCAGGCUUAACACAUGCAAGUCGAGCGGAGAUGAGGUGCUUGCACCUUAUCUUAGCGGCGGACGGGUGAGUAAUGCUUAGGAAUCUGCCUAUUAGUGGGGGACAACAUUCCGAAAGGAAUGCUAAUACCGCAUACGUCCUACGGGAGAAAGCAGGGGAUCUUCGGACCUUGCGCUAAUAGAUGAGCCUAAGUCGGAUUAGCUAGUUGGUGGGGUAAAGGCCUACCAAGGCGACGAUCUGUGGCGGGUCUGAGAGGAUGAUCCGCCACACUGGGACUGAGACACGGCCCAGACUCCUACGGGAGGCAGCAGUGGGGAAUAUUGGACAAUGGGGGGAACCCUGAUCUAGCCAUGCCGCGUGUGUGAAGAAGGCCUUAUGGUUGUAAAGCACUUUAAGCGAGGAGGAGGCUACUGAGACUAAUACUCUUGGAUAGUGGACGUUACUCGCAGAAUAAGCACCGGCUAACUCUGUGCCAGCCGCCGCAGUAA
rnacentral:rRNA from 1 species